UAAUUUAAUAACACAACCAUAAAAUGACGUUAACAUUAGGCCAGAUUAAGACAAAUAUUUCGAUGUAAACGUGCAAAAAUCAAAUGUUGUGAGAAGCGUUUGCUGAAAUCCUAAAUCAUACUUAUUAUUUUAAUAAUUGCCGAUUGAUUGAACUUCGUGCAGUUGUCAUUUAUAUACACAUAUUCUUAUAUGCUUCGCUUAGACUAUUGUUCAAUAAUGGAAAUUAACUCGUAGUACUUCAAAAAAAAAAAUACAUGCUUUGAGUGUAUAAAAUAUUUAUUAUAUAUUUAUUUAAUUUUUGAAUGAAUUGAUUGUUGUGACUUGUGGAUUAUUAUGCUUAAGAAUUAUCUGCUUAUUGUUGAUCUAACCUUUUUGUAAUGGUUUCCAUAGAUACUUAAUAAAUUGAGCUACACUUGAGAGUGAUAAAAAAAAUCUGAAAAAAAAAUCUGCCACUUUGAAAAGUGAACAAAAUAACUAUGAAAGUUAUUGAAUGAUUUAUCUGAAAAGUGAACAAAAUAACUAUGAAAGUUAUUGAAUGAUUUAUCUGUACUUAUUUGUUCACUUUACUACUUAUUGUAGUAAAAGUUGUGAGCAAAGGACCAUAUCUAGUUUUUGAAUGAAUUGAUUUUUUUGUGAGAUCGUAGUAAGUGUGUCGGAAAGCUAGGCUUCCGAUGUGACUGGGGAACUGUUGUGUUGAGUAGGGUGUGCAUCCAAGUUCUCCUCCUCGUAGGGUGGUAGUAAAACCAAUUUGGCAAGCGGUCUUGUAACUUGGCCUUUUUCAGUGAUAAUGUCAACCACUCGCACUCGGGUAUCAGCACCUGGGUGUAUAUUGACAAUCCUACCCAAUCUCCACUCGUUCGGUGACAAAUUGUCUUCCUUGAUGACGACAAGGUCACCUGUCUUUAAAUUUGUUUUGGAAUGUUUCCAUUUAAUGCGCUUCUGCAUUUCAUUCAGGUAUUCGGUUUUCCACCUUUUGCAGAAGGAUUGAUGUAAGGCCUUAAGUUUUUGCCAUCUAUUUACGAUAGAGGCACUGCUUUCAUUUAUAUCCGGUUCUGGUGGGGCCAUCAGAUGUCCGCCGACCAAAAAAUGUCCUGGAGUAAGUGGCUCCAAAUCAGUAGGUUCGUUUGAGGCUGGGCUUAAUGGUCGCGAAUUAAGGCAAGAUUCAAUUCGGCAUAAGAGUGUGUUAAACUCUUCAAGAGUGUAUUUUUGCCCAGACGCAAUCUUGCGGAAAUGACUCUUAAAGCUUUUCACACCUGCUUCCCAAAGUCCGCCCAUAUGAGGAGCUGCAGCAGGUAUGAAAUGCCAUGUAAGAGCUUGGUGGCUAUACUUUGAGAUAGCAUUGUUGCGAGCAUCGGCUAUGAAGGCUUUAAGUUCGGACCUUAGGGAUCUCGAUGCUCCAACGAAGUUUGUACCAUUGUCCGAAUAAAUAUUCUUAGGGCAACCUCUUCUAGAAACGAAUCUAGAGAGAGCUGCUAAAAAUGACUGUGUUGAUAAAUCGGUAGUGGCCUCCAGGUGGAUGGCCCUUGUUGUAAAACAGACAAACAGACAGACAUACCCUUUGGAUACACGGCAUCCUCUUCCACGGUAGCUUUUUAUUUCGAACGGACCCGCGAAAUCUACCCCCGUAUUCGUAAAAGCGCGUGAGAAUGUGGAUCGUUCGGACGGAAAUGCACCCAUAAGUUGCGUCUGAGCGCGUGUUUUGAAGAUCGUGCACGUCUUGCAGUUAUGGAUGAUGGAUCGGAUCAAGUUUUUUACCCUUGGAAUCCAAUACUGAGCCCGCGUUAGCCGUAACAUCAGCUGAUUUUCUCCAUGCAAAGAGACUUGGUGAAUAAACUGGAUUAUUAGACGAGACAAUACGCAGUUGUAUGGAAGGAUAAUUGGAUGGCGCUCAUUGUAUGACAAGUCGAGAGACGCACCGAGACGGCCACCAGUUCUCAUCACUUGAUCUUUAUCGAGGAAUGGAUUAAGAGAGAGGAUUUCACUUUUUACAUCGAUGGGCUUACCGGAUUUCAAACAACCAUACUCUUGACCAUAUUUCUGCUUCUGCGUAUUUAUUAUCAAACGUCUUGUCGUUGCUUUAAUUUCUUCGGAUGAAAUUAAGCAAGACUUUUGUUGAAAAGAAGCCUUUGUGUUUGGAUGAGUUCUUCGAGAGAAUCUCAUAACAUAUGAUAACAAGAACGUCGUUAGAAUUCCCCUGUAUUGUUGUACAAGCAUGUACACGUACCUGUUUUUCCUCUAUUGUCGUCUCGUAGUCAUUUUGUCGUAAUGGCCAUUUGGAUUGAUCUUCUUGCAGCCAAGAAGGUCCCUGCCACCACAAGGUGUUUUCCACCAAAUCCUGUGCCAUAAGUCCCCGACUGGCUAAGUCUGCAGGGUUAGAUCCUGAAUCGACAUGAUUCCAAUUUGCGUUGCCAACCUUUUCUAUAAUCUUUGUCACUCGAUGGGAUACAAACGUUGACCAUGAACAUGGUGGCUUGCGAAUCCAUGCGAGAACGAUGGUCGAAUCCGUCCAUAAUUUAAGUUUAAGAUGAGUCAGCUCCAGGUUGUUGACGACAGAUUCAACUGUUUCGGCCAGUAAUACGGCGCCGCACAGUUCCAGACGCGGUAAAGAGAUAGUUUUGACAGGCGCUACUCUGGUUUUUGCCAAUAGUAGGCUGACGAAAACUUCGUUGUUUGUCCUUACGCGCAGGUAGACCGUUGCUGCGUAUGCUUUCUCCGAUGCAUCGCAGAAACCAUGAAUGGACACAUCGUCCGUCGGCGAGAAGUGGACCCAUCGUGGAAUUUUAAUGUUGUUUAUGUACCUGUGGUUAUCCAUGAAUGUGUGCCAACGAUCCAAUGUGGUAGGAGAUACAACCUCGUCCCAUUGUGUUCCUUCCAACCAAAUAUGUUGCAUUAUCAUUUUGGCUGUGACGAUUAUCGGUGCUAGCCAUCCUAAUGGGUCAAACAGUUUGGCGAUAUCUGAGAGGAUAGCUCUCUUUGUAUAUGAUUCUGGGCUGAGUAUAGGUUUUGUUUUAAAAUAGAAGAAGUCAGUGUGCGCAUUCCACCUUAUCCCAAGAGCCUUGACAUCACUUGUGUCUUCGAAGUCUAAAAACUCUUUGUUUAGCAGGUGGUCUUUUGGAAGGCCUUGUAAAAUUCUUCCACAGUUGGCUGUCCAUUUUCUUAAUGGGAAACCUGCUGACUCCAAUGCUGUUCUAAUCUCAUUCCUAGCUUUAAUUGCAGCUUCUAUAGAGUGUCCACCUGCUAAGACAUCAUCAACAUAUAUGCAUUUCCUGAGGAUGUUUGAGGCUACUGGUAGUGAGCUUUCAACGUCGUCAGCUAAUUGGAGUAACGUCCUUAUUGCCAGAUAAGGAGCGCAGUUGAUUCCGAACGUCACCGUCUUCAAUUCAAAAAUAUUGGUUUGUUCGGUCGGAUGGUUGCGGAAAACGAUUCGCUGGUACUUCGUUUGAUCAGCUUUCAACAGGAUUUGGCGAUACAUCUUCUCAAUAUCGCUAUUGAAGACAUAUUUAAAUAAACGCCAUCGCAGAAUUAAGAUGGUCAGAUCUGCUUGAAGAACUGGACCGGGGAGAAGGAUGUCAUUCAGCGAAGUGCCGUUUGAAGUCGCUUGCGAUGCAUUGAACACCACACGCACCUUUGUCGAUGUGCUCUCUUCCUUCUUUACGGCGUGGUGAGGCAGGUAAUAGUUGUUACUAGAGUCGGCCGUUUGAUUGGUUUUCGUCUCUUGACAACCGAGCUUCAUUGCGAUAAAACUGGGAGUACGCAAUCUUUAAGGAACUACCUAGACUAAUGUUGACCGGAUAGUCUUUCCUGAAUGGUAGCGAUACAACGUACUUCCCGUCUUCAUUUCGCUUCGUUGUCUUCUUAUAGAGCUCUUCGCAAUACCUGUCCUCCUCGCUUAACUUCCUCUCCUUGGACAUCUCUUCCAACUCCCAGAACGAAGCUAACCGCUUUUCCAGCGAUAUUUCGUUGUAAUACGAGACGCAAGUGUUGGUUGGCUUAAUUGUAUUAGCACGCCCUGUGACUAUCCAACCGAACACGGUCUCUUGCGCAAGGAGUGAUCCCAGCACGUUCUUGCGUAUACCAUCCAGCAUAAUCUGGGGAUAGACGUCACCACCGAGUAUGACGUCCACGGGUUCAUUGACGAAGAACCUCUUAUCCGCCAACGUGAGAUCUGGGAAAGCCUGCCGAGUUAGUGCGCUAAUAUGGCAAGUCGGCAAGUUUCCCGUUAAUUUCGGCAGAACCAUCAUGUUCGUUGUGAUUGAUACAAGUGGGUCAAUUGGUGACCGCAACUCGACACAACAUGCUUCCUUCACUUGCGCAGAUACGGUGUUGUUGAUGCCGGACACCUGGGCAUUUAUCUUCCUCACUGGCAAGUUGAUUCUACGCUUCAGCCUUUCUGUGAUGAAAGAGCACUCUGACCCGGAGUCGAUGAGUGCUCUUGCGGCAUAGGUAACGCCGCUGUAAUUUAUAUUUAUUUGUGCAGUUCCUAACAAGACACCUUUGUCGCUGUUAGCGAAGCACGACUGUACUUGAGUCGUUGGCUUGCCUUUCGACUUGUUGAAGUUGCGCUUCUGCUGCGCUUGCCUGGACGUAGACGGAAUCUCGUCCGAUGGCGUAGAUGAGCCUCUUUGGCUGCUAGGCUGCACUGUCCUCAAAUGUAGGAGUGUGUGAUGCCUCGCGUGGCACGUGCUGCAGUUGAAUGCACUGGUGCAUUGCGACACUAAAUGCCCAAAGCCGAGGCAAUUGAUGCAACGAUUGUUGCGCUUAGCGAACUUGAUCCUGUCCGCUGGUGCCAUGUUAAGAAACAUGGGGCAAGAUCUUAAUUUGUGAUCUGCACUUUUGCACAUCAGACAUGUUGAUUUCUCAACGCUUACUUGGAAGGCGCCGAGUCUGUUCUGAUGGCUAUUGUUGUUGUAUUUAUUCUGUGUGGGUGCACUGACAGGCUUUGCGGAAUUGGACGAUUUCUUGGCACGUUCUAUUGCCUCCAAAUCACGGUAUCUAUCCGUGAGGAAGUUGUCCAAUUCCUCCCACUUCGAUGUCUUGGUCUUGUUCUUUACAGACUGUUCCCAUAGGGCCAAUGUUGCCUGUGGCAGUCUCUUGGAACAUAUGCGGAUUAUGAUUGGGUCCCAGUUCCCAAUGUCCACUUUAUUGGCUGUCAGGCAGGAGAUGCAGCUGUUGAUCUCCCGCUGUAGCCAUUUUAUUGAGCUCGAACACUCUUUAUCGAUUGAGGGCAAGUCGAGCAGUAUGUCGACUUGGGUUUCGACGAGAAUUCGCUCAUUCUCGUACAUAUCAGUCAAUCCCUUCCACGCCAUUGCGAAGCCAUCAUUUGUUAGCGGGCAUUUUGAUACAAUAACCUUCGCCUCCCCUUGUGUCUUUUUGUUGAGAUGUUAUAAUUUCUCAACAGGUGACAGGCGCUUGCUUUUGAUGUAUACGGCCGUGAACAUAUCCCGGAAUGUUGGCCAAGAAAGGUAGUCCCCUUUGAAAACAUCAGUAUCGCAAGGCGGAAGGGAGUGAUUACUGUCUACCUCAACAGAUUUUUCGGUGUCUUUGGGGGUUGAGAGGAUCUCAGACAUAUCCUUCAUUGCCCCCAUGCAACGUAUGUAGCAUUGCCCACCUAUCUUGAAUUUUUUUUUAAUAAGGGCAUAGUCCUUUGAGGACAUGUCCCCUUUGCUGUUGAGGUCGUCAUGGGCAGCUUUCGCUUUGCACCACAUCUCUCUCAGCUCGUCUUGUUGCAUCGCAAGAGCGUUCUUUGAGAUGUCCUUUGAUGCAGCACUGAAUUCAGACUCGUAUUCGACAACGUAGUCUACUAAGCGCAUGAAAGCUUCCAUGGUUUCGAUAUAAGUGACAAGAAGAAUUGAAAAUUCAAAUUUAAAUUUAAAGGAAUAGAGUAAUACUCAAGACUGAGCAGACUUUGAUCUAAAGAAUAUGGGAAUCAUUCUGGAAAUAAUUCCCCACUAUUGUAAAUUUUUAUUUGCAGCACACCACUGCCAACCAAACAAGAAAUAGAAAAAGGAAAAAUUUUUUGACUGUUUUAGCCGAUAUCGCAAUAUAUCUGGCUGGUCAAUAAUAUUUAAUUUAUUGGAUAUAUUUUAGCAAACAAAAUUUUUAACUAUAGUAGCCGAUAUCGCAGUAUAUCUGGCUUUGGUACUUUAUUUAAUAUAAAUGUGAGUUGCAGCACACCACUGCCAACCAAACAAGAAAAUAGGAAAAGGAAAUUUUUUGACUGUUUUAGCCGAUAUCGCAGUAUAUCUGGCUUUGGUACUUUAUUUAAUAUAUAUAUGAGUUGCAGCACACCACUGCCAACAAAAAAACGAGAAUAUAUAUGUGUAGUCGUACGUGCGUAUGUAUAAAGAUGCCACUUUAUAUGGCUCGCCACCCAAGAUACGCCGACGAAAAUCAAUUUGUUAAAUAAAAGUGUUUAAAGGUGAAAAAAGUGCAGUGUCUCAGUGAAAAAAAGAAACAAAAAACAGAAAUUUCUUCAACAAAUAGAGAAAGAAUCAAAAGAAAAUCAGUGCCGUAAGUGAUAUGUGAAAAUAUGUGAAAAAGUAUUGCCGCACAAAAUCGAAAAAAUGAUAAAAAUCAAAAAAUGCGUGCCGUAAGUGAUAUGUGAAAAUAUGUGAAAAAGUAUUACCGCACAAAAUCGAAAAAAUGAUAAAAUCAAAAAAUUAGUGCUGCAAGUGAUAUGUAUAUGAGAGAAAAAAAAAACAUAUACGAGAAAAAAUAUUACCGCACAAAAUCCGGUAAAAGUAACCGUGCACUUACGGAUGAUUUUGCUUUUGUAAUUAUCCCACUGAAACACUAAAAACACUAGUCACUUUGUCACUUUUAUAAACGAUUUGUCACCAAUAAAUACGAUUAAAACCAACUAUUUUUAUUUUAUUUUUUCUUUUAAAACGAUUUGUAAUCCAGUGAUAUUAAAUCAAUCACGUACCUGGUUUGCCUGCGUUGCUGUGAAGUGAAACAGGAAUCGGUGUUAAGUCCGUUGGUGUGCAGCGCCUCGCUUGUGUUUGUGCAACAGAGAUCGGUGCUUAGUGUCCGCUGGUGUACAGUGCCAAAAACUUGUUUGAAAAAUAUAUUUGUUUUAAUCCGGCUCGAAGGACCAUGAAUAUAUCUCGUACGGUCGACGAAUCAAUUGCGGACGAUGCGUCGAUCGUUGAGAAUAUGAAAAAACGGGAAAACAGAAUUAGUGAAUAAAACCACAAAGUUUGUGUUUCAUAUAGCAUAUUAAAAUGUUUUAAAUUUUAUUUUAUUAAUUUUUGAUUACCAAAAAAUACUUACAUUUAUGGUUGUGGUGAUGCUUGGUGUGGUGGCCGGUGGAAAAAAACGUCUUGGUUCGCUUCGCUCUCUAAACAGAAGUAUUUUAGCCUCACUAGCAGAAUCGCUUGCUAAGUGGGAGUUUUUAACGAAACCAUUGCCAGUUGAGUGAAAGCUGUUAACAGUUGAGUGAAAACUAUCAACAGCUAACUGGCAAUGGUUUGUUAUGCACUCACUAGGGGGUGGUAAAAAGAAAUUAGGCGCUGGCCUAAACACACGUCGUUAUGAAGAUGCUCUCUCAUAUUCGUUUUCAGGCGGAGUUUUGCAACUGUCGACCAUAAGCGUGAUGAUUUAAUUCACGCUUGAAUUUCAUCUGCUGGUGUCCCCCUCUGAAUCACUGGGAGGGUUUGACGGAAAUCACCAGUCAAUAAGCCAGCCAUUUUGGAUAUACCAGAUUUCCGCUUCCGCGGCAUUUUCUAAGAAAAGCAGAGUAAGAAUUAACAUUCCGAAUAUUUGACUAUUUGCAUGAUAUUUUAAUUUUUCUAAUAAUGUUUUUGAAUGUAAAAAAAUACUUUUUUAAAAAAUAAGUUUGUUCAAAUAUUUGAACACAUUAUAAAAUGUUUUACAUCAUGUAAAAUAUUUAAAAUUUUUUUAGUAUAUAACCAUAACCAUCAUCUACUACCUAUGUAUUAGAAUAAUCUUUUACCAUGAACUUAAGAUUGCUGAAUUGAAUUAGAACUCCAUUCUUACCUCUAGUCUAAGCCGUUAGCUUAAGAUUUGGGCUAACUAAUGAACUAUUGACAUAAAGAAUGCUAUUGUAUUAAAGACUAUAACCGCGAACGGGCGUUUUUCUUUUUUAACCGAGAUAGCACAGGCAAUUUGCGUUUAGUUGCGCACCUUUGUGAGUCUAAUUUCAACCUUAAUCUUAAAAACGCUUAAGAUUUUUUUCAUGGCGCCCAAGCAGGGACUCAGUGCGUGGCUGUAAAAGUGCAUUUAACUUUUUUAACUUUCGUACAAAGUAAUACUUAGCGUAUUAAUUUAAUUUUUAACGCGUGAAUUUUCUAUUUCUUCCGGUUUCAGUCAAGUGCAAGUGACUAAAGUGACAAAUACUGAAAACAAAUGUCUAGACAAAGACAUUAAAAAAAAUCAAAAAAAAAUUUUACAUUAAAAAAUAGCAGUGGCUUGAAAAAAAUAAUAAUAAUAACACUUUGGAUAUCGAUAUCCAUAUACAUAUGUAUAUAAAAUUAAGUGGAAAGAGCACAUAUGCGACAUAUGGACAUACACUCAAGUGAAUAAAAACGAAAUGGUAAAAUCAAACAUAAAGAAAAUAACAUAAAAAUUAACCUAAACUAAAAAUUGAAAAAAUUGGGAAAAACGUUUUGUGAAGUGUGUGGUGAAAAUAUAAUACAUACAUAUACAUGACAUACCCGCGGUAAAAUUCACCAGUCUAAUAAUGCGCAAACACAAAGAAAAGAAACAUAAAUCAAAAGGUGGAUGAUUAGAUUAAACAGGCAUAUUUUUGCAAAUACAGUGGAGUGUCAAAAUAUAAGCAGUAUUAAAAUAAAGGCAUUAUAUUUUUUCUGAGGCGCUAAAUGUGGUUUCACAGUUAGUGCGGUAAAGCAAAUUUAACUACCGCCAAAAACAUAAAGUAAAAAAAGAGUGUCGCGAGUGCCGCUAAAAAGUGUCGGAAAAGAGGUACAAACCCGUUAAUAAAAAAGCCGUAAACCAAAAACCGAUAACUUCGGCCGUUAACAACGUUAAACAAAUAUUUUGGGGUAACAUCACAUCGGUACCCACGGGCCUGCGUCAACACCAUCGUCCCACUGCUAAGGUCAACACCAUCGCUGCUAACGUCGACACCAGAUCCUCUGCUUCGUGGGAAUGAGCUGCAAUUGCAUUCUCUGCAGAAGGGAAGUGGACGCAGGCACGAAUCACUGAAAGUGGUACGAAUAAAGAAAUACGAAAAGUAAAAACAAAAGAGUGAGUGCAUAGAUCUAAUCGAAUUGGAAUGUCGUCUUGACAUACUAAUCUCACAUUUUGAGAAAUUGAUGAAAUAUCAAUCUAGAAUUGAAGAGAUUGAUGAAGACAACAUGGCCCGAGGGGAGUUAGAGGACAUAAUUGUAGAAACAAAAUCUAUAAUUAAAACAAUUUUGGCCAAAAAUAGAACAUCUAUUGCUGAAACAUCAUUGGUAACGUCUCACAGCUCAAGGCUCCCAAAAAUGAAUUUGCCGAAAUUCAAGGGAGAAUAUUCAAAAUUUGAAAAUUGCAUGAGUUUGUUUGAGAGUUUGGUUCACAAUGAUCCAAACAUCCCAGACAUUGAAAAAUUUAACGAUCUGGUUAAUUGUCUAUCUGGGGAGGCUCUGGGCACGGUAAAGGCGCUUCAAAUGUCGAAAUUAUCCAAAGGCGUUGGCAAGUCUCAAAAAGGCUUACGACAAUAAAUGUUUGAUUUUUUUAAUACGAUUUCAAAUCUUGUUGAGCUGCCAACUAUCUCUAAGCCAUCAGCCCCUUCAUUGCGCGCGAUGAUUGAUGAAGUGUCGGCUGUAUACGACUCAUUACUAUCGCUGGGCGAUGAGAAACAAAUCACAAAUGCGAUAAUUAUUCACAUAGUCAUGACUUAAUUUGACUCUGCCACCUGAUAAAAGAGGGAAGAACAACUGGAUUACGACAAGUUACCAUUGUGGAAGGAUUGUGAAGCUACCUUAAAUAGACGGUACCCGCACUAGGGUCGAUUCAGGACUUUUUUCGAUUCGGGAUUUCUAAUAGUGCGGAAAUUUGACUUAGUACUUCCUGAUUCCAAUACAACUUUUUGUUUUGAGAUCGGAUUGCAUCUUCAACCCCAACACCGGCCUUAAAAUUUCGGAAAUUUGCCUAAAAUCGUAAAAUUGUCUACGUAGCGCCUGAAUACGCAUCUUAUGGCAAAAUGUAAAAAAGUUAUUUGUCACGUCAUUUGCUACCGAAAUGGUAUAUGUGAUCAUGGCCGUAGGACGAACCGUUCCCGAGAUACGAGCGAAAAUGCGGCGCGCCACAGCGCAAGGUGAAAAUCGGCUUUCGGCCACAUUUCUUGACGUUGAUUUCGCCGAGUGCUAUCACUCACAUUCAUUCACCUACGCCAAAGGACACGUUCGGAUAGGUCUCCACAAAAAUAUUUUUUCAUCGAGUUCCUUCACUCUUGUCGGUGAAUUCGCCGAGUUCUAUCACUUACAUUCGUUUCCCUGCGCCAUACGACACGUUCGGACUGGUCUCCACAUAAAUAUUUUUUCAUCGAGUUCCUUCACUUAUAUUCUCUCUACAGAACACAGAACUCAAAAUGUCUGUGUCCAAUUUUAAAUUUAGACAGAAAUGUCCUGUGUUUGGCAUAUAUCCGUACAAACUCUCUGAGUCCCAGUUACCUAUUUACCAGGAUGUUCUUUUGUGUUAUCAGUUUGAAAGAUUUGGUAUAGGGCGACUCCGAGGCGACAACUAUGAACCUAGGAGUAAAGAGGUUACAGAAAUAGUUACAAAAAAGGUUGAAAAUACUUUCAAAAAGUCAUCUAUUCCGAUAGUUUCACACACCAGAGUUGUACAAAUGCUCACCACAUACCAUGAGAAAUUUUUGGCUCUUAAACAAAUGUUUUUAAGGAACCCAAUAGGUUUGAGCUCUAACAGAGACGACUUUGUCUCUUCUGCCGGAAAAUUAUUUGACAUUGCUGCUUGUAAAUGCAUUUAUUUUUCUUCUUGCACUUGUCCAAAGGAAAGGAAAGUUCCUAGCAAUGAACAACCAUUUCUCUUGGACCAGAGAACCAGAAGAAUUGGUCGCAUUGGAAGUGUUGAUCUACCUGAAACAAAAAAGAUUACAAAGAAAAAUUAACGCAAAGAAAAGCUUUCAAAACGUCACUCAACAUCAACACUUACCAGAAAAGUAUCAGCUAGAACACGUGAUCAUUCAGAUCAGCCAGACUCUUAUACAGACGACAACAAUGUAGGUGCGUCGCACAUGGAUUCUUCCAAAAACGAUGCUGAUGAUGAAUUUUCUCUUCCAUCCUCUAAAACCAAACAAAACACACUAGUAUUAGAACACACUGCUUUAGCUGCCCAAAGAUUUGGAGUAAGUGAUAGAGCAGUGGUCUUGAUUGUUUCAUCUGCUUUUCUGGAUGCCAAAAAAGCAGGUUUGAUACAGAGGAUCAGGCUAGCUUUGUCACUGACAAAUGCAAGAUUAGUUGGACAAAAAAAAAAAAACAAAA